CCUCAGAAUCAACGCUGGCGGCGUGCCUAACACAUGCAAGUCGCACGAGAAAGGGUAGCAAUACCUGAGUAAAGUGGCGCACGGGUGAGUAACACGUGAAUAAUCUACCUCCGAGUGGGGAAUAACUGAGAGAAAUCUUAGCUAAUACCGCAUAACACUUACGAGUCAAAGCAGCAAUGCGCUUGGAGAGGAGUUCGCGGCAGAUUAGUUAGUUGGCGGGGUAAUGGCCCACCAAGACGAUGAUCUGUAUCCGGCCUGAGAGGGCGCACGGACACACUGGAACUGAAACACGGUCCAGACUCCUACGGGAGGCAGCAGUGGGGAAUUUUGCGCAAUGGGGGAAACCCUGACGCAGCAACGCCGCGUGGAGGAUGAAAUCCCUUGGGAUGUAAACUCCUUUCGAUAGGGAAGAUAAUGACGGUACCUAUAGAAGAAGCCCCGGCUAAUUUCGUGCCAGCAGCCGCGGUAAUACGAGGGGGGCAAGCGUUGUUCGGAUUUAUUGGGCGUAAAGGGUGCGUAGGCGGUUUGGCAAGUCUUGUGUGAAAUCUUUGGGCUCAACCCAAAGUCUGCACAAGAAACUGCCGGGCUUGAGUAUGGGAGAGGUGAGUGGAAUUUCCGGUGUAGCGGUGAAAUGCGUAGAUAUCGGAAGGAACACCUGUGGCAAAAGCGGCUCACUGGACCAUUACUGACGCUGAGGCACGAAAGCUAGGGGAGCAAACAGGAUUAGAUACCCUGGUAGUCCUAGCCCUAAACGAUGAUUGUUUGAUGUGGCAGGUACCCAAUCCUGCCGUGUCGAAGCUAACGCGAUAAACAAUCCGCCUGGGGAGUACGGUCGCAAGGCUGAAACUCAAAGGAAUUGACGGGGGCCCGCACAAGCGGUGGAGCAUGUGGUUUAAUUCGACGCAACGCGAAGAACCUUACCUGGGCUCGAAAUGUAGUGGAAUCCGGCAGAAACGUCGGCGUCUAGCAAUAGACCGCUAUAUAGGUGCUGCAUGGCUGUCGUCAGCUCGUGUCGUGAGAUGUUGGGUUAAGUCCCGCAACGAGCGCAACCCUUAUCUACAGUUGCUACCAUUUAGUUGAGCACUCUGUCGAAACCGCCUCGGAUAACGGGGAGGAAGGUGGGGAUGACGUCAAGUCCUCAUGGCCUUUAUGUCCAGGGCUACACACGUGCUACAAUGGCCGGUACAAACCGCUGCAACCCCGCGAGGGUGAGCUAAUCGGAAAAAGCCGGCCUCAGUUCGGAUUGGAGUCUGCAACUCGACUCCAUGAAGCUGGAAUCGCUAGUAAUCGUGGAUCAGCAUGCCACGGUGAAUACGUUCCCGGGCCCA
rnacentral:rRNA from 1 species